rnacentral:rRNA from 1 species
AGCUCCAAUAGCGUAUAUUAAAGUUGUUGCAGUUAAAAAGCUCGUAGUUGAAUUUUGGGGGCGCGUGUGCGGUCCGCCUAACGGCGAGCACUGUGCGCGAGCCUCUUACCUUCUGGGGGUCUUGUCUGUCAUUCGUGGUGGGCAAGGGAACCAGGACUUUUACUUUGAGGAAAUUAGAGUGUUCAAAGCAGGCUUUUGCUUGAAUACAUUAGCAUGGAAUAAUGGAAUAGGACCGUAGUCUUAUUUUGUUGGUUUUCGAGACUGUGGUAAUGAUUAAUAGGGACGGUUGGGGGCAUUUGUAUGUACGUGCUAGAGGUGAAAUUCUUGGAUUUCGUACAGACAAUCUGAUGCGAAAGCGUUUGCCAAGGACGUUUUCA